rnacentral:lncRNA from 12 species
UUGCAAUCCUGUCUUGUGCAAAGAAGGUCAAUUGCUGACCCAAGAACCAUUUAAGCUGGGAGGAAGAAUUAAACAAUCCCCCCAGGGGUACUGACUGCAGAGACCUUUCCCGACAAAUUAGAGUGCAGUGUGCAGGACAGGAGGGCUGUCCACUAAAUUUCCCAAAUCCUCCGUAGGCCCGUUGCUCCUCAUAGCUGAGGUCCAACACUCAACGUGCUAGUUGAGCUCAUCUCUGAUGAGCUCAUCUCAUCUCUGCUGUCUUGUUGCAUUCUCCUGAGCUGAAGGGAUAGGCUAAGGAGUCCCAUCCCUUCCCACAAUCAUAAGGGUUCUAUCAGGAGGAGAGACGUAAAACCAAUCUUUUACUAUUGAUUUCACUCCUGGCUGUCAACCUGGAGGCCAAUUACCUAGCCUACACAAAAGAAAGCAACAUGGAGAAAUUUUUUCAACCUCCACCAUGCCCUCAAUAAUCCAAAUAAUCUGGCAUUUUACCUGUUCAUGAGAAAUCACUGGCAAAUUAAGAAAAAGAAACAAAAUGACAAUUUCAGAUAACAAACAGGGCAGCAUAAACUAUGGAGAAAUUAUUAAUAAAAUCUCAAGAAGUCAACUCAGCAUC